CAGCAGCCACGGUAAUACGUAGGGUGCGAGCGUUAAUCGGAAUUACUGGGCGUAAAGCGUGCGCAGGCGGUUCGUUAAGACAGAUAUGAAAUCCCCGGGCUUAACCUGGGAACUGCAUUUGUGACUGGCGAGCUAGAGUAUGGCAGAGGGGGGUAGAAUUCCACGUGUAGCAGUGAAAUGCGUAGAGAUGUGGAGGAAUACCAGUGGCGAAGGCGGCUCACUGGACCGACAUUGACGCUGAGGCGCGAAAGCGUGGGGAGCAAACAGGAUUAGAUACCCCCGUAGUCCCUGUCUCUUAUAC
rnacentral:rRNA from 1 species